rnacentral:misc_RNA from 1 species
GUGGGAGGGGGCUUGCUCCCGAUCGCGGCGUUCAGUCAGCACCCCAUUGACUGAUACACCGUAAUCGGGAGCAAGCCCCCUCCCAC